rnacentral:ncRNA from 1 species
UCUGCCUGCGGCGAUGGAGUUCGCCAUGUAACCGCCCGCGGGGCUGAUGACUCCUGUUCCUUG